CAAACUGUACAACCAAAUAACUAUAUAUAUAGAUUUACUUUCUUUUUUAUAAGAAGAAAUAUGAUUAGAAUGCCACAAGGGACAGUUGUUUGUCAUCUAAUCUCACUUCCUACAUGACCAUAAUUCAUAGAUUCAUAGAUUCAUAAGAUUUCCAUGAAUUAAUGUUUGAUGGAAAAAAAGCAAAACUUUUGGGGAAAGAAGCAUUCAUUCUUGAUUGGAAAAUGGCCAGCACUAAAGAACGCCACGCCAUACCUGGUAAGUUUUAGAUUGCCUAGACCUAGAGAAUUUGUAGAUUCUCCAUCACUAGAGGUUGUCAAGAAGAGAUUGGAUAAGCAUUGGUCAUAGAUGAUCUAGAAGUAGCUAUGCCUGAAGUGUUCUGCAAAGAGUAAUAGUUAGAAGCUGAGGAAAUCCCCCCUCCGCUCUACACACUUGCAGCAGAAUCAUAGAAAAGUAGGGCUGGAAGGGACCUCUAGAGAUCAUUUAGUCCAACCCCUUGCCUGAGGCAGGAUCACCCCUGUCCAAAUCAUGCUAUACAAAUCCGUCAUCUAACCUAUUAUCAAAAUUACACAAUCAGCCAUGCCACACAACCAUAAAGCAUAGUGCCCUAAUCUGCCACAGGUAAAAUAAGGGGACAACAGUGGCCAAUGUCCUGCUACUCCAAGAAUUGUUAAGAUUUGCUCAAGAGAUAGAAGGAAGAGGGCCAUGGCCCCUUCUAUUCCCUCUCAUGCAUGCCAAAGCUGGCAAUUCAUCAGUGAAGCCACUUUAGAUCAUCCCAGUCAAUGACUCUGAAGUGUCUCUGGUGUGCUUGAAAUAUAUUCAGGGAGGAGGACAUAUCAGAGUUGUUUCUGCAGGGGAGUUGAGAGGCUAGAAGCUGGUAAAGGAAUACUGGAUGGCUUAAAAUAAUGAAUAUUUUUUUUGUUUUUCAGGAACAUCCUAGUUAGCCAUUGUACAUCCUGCAUGUGGUAGGAGAGGGGAAAGGAUGAAGAGCAAUGACCUCAACUUACAGCAAAGAAGUUUUAGAUUGGAUAUUGGGAAGAAAUUCUUCACUACAAGAAUGGUAAAGCAUCAGAAUAGGUUGCCUCCAGAGGUUGUGGAAUCUCCACCCUUGGAAGCUUUUGAGAAUAUAUUAGAGAACCCUUUCCUAGGAGGGUUUGGAUAGGGACAGUGCUGCCUUGAGAAAGGGGCUGGGUUAGAUGACCUCCUAAGGUCCCUUCCAACUCUACUUCUUUAUGAUUCUAUGAAUUGAGUGAUGUCAGUGGGCUAACUAUUCUGUGUUGUGGUGCCCUCUGCUGAAAGAGUGUAGACUCAACUCAUAAAUAUCCUGUUUCGUCCUAUUGCUGAGAAGGGCCAAUUAUGCAACAAGAUAUUUUGCAAAAUUACUCUUUUCCUUCCUCUUCAUUGGUAUUUUUUAUAUCUUUGUGAUGAGAAUACCUUUUCUCUACCAUGUUUUUUCCUGUAGUGCAGUGUCAUUAGUUUUUUUAUGUGUUUUUCUGCCUUUAGUCCAUCAGCCAGGUCUCUAUACUCUGCCUUCUUACAAAUCUUGUGUAGCCACACAAAUCUUCUGCCAGUUCUUUAUAGCCAUGUGGAUAAAUGCAAUUAAGUGCUGAAGACUUCUCAUAGGUAAGACUCUCUGAGGAUCCUCAAUAUUCUAGUUCAGGGCUGUCCAACUGGCAGCCCAUGCGCCACAUGCAGUCUGUAAAGGGUUAACACAAGAGUCCUACCCAGCCACGACUACCCAUUUCUCCUGCUGCAGUGGUUGCUGGGAUGGUUAGGUUCCCCAUCUUUCCUCUAACAGUCAUAUAAAAGUGUGUUGUCAGGUUGGUAUUCUGGUCUAUAGUGCUCUAGUAUCCAAUAUCCACAGUUGUGAUAGUAGAGCAGGACUUUGUAAAUGCUGGAGUGUAGAAGCACCAGGCACCAGAUUUAACAGAAGGGAACCAUUCUGUCUUCUGUGCUCUCAGUGGCCUCAUUCCAGGCACUGGGGUCCAGGAAGCAAGAGAAAAGAGACAGACUUAGAAUGCAAAAUGGUGAGUCAUUCAUCUGGGGGUACUACGGGAGGCAGAGGGAAAGAGGUGGGAGAAUGGGAAGGGGGACAAUCUCUGGAAUUUAGGGGAAGCAGUUGUAGACAGGAAAUGGUGUGGCAGGAAAUGGUAGGUUGGGGUGAUCCAAAAGGUACAAACAAGAGGAACUGAAAGAACAAGAGGAUAUGGAGAGGGAGACAAAGGACCAGGAAAUAGAAGCUGAACGGCAGGAAGGCAGGAGCUGGGGAAGUCAUGUCAUGAGGAGUAUGAGCAGAUCCUUCCCUCUGCCACAGAGUUUCUCUGUUAGCUGGGCAAGUCACUUAAAAUAUUUAUAGCCAGCCACAGAUUGGAGAUUCCUCUUUCCUGGGGUUGUCUCCUGGUUCAGAUUACGGAAGAGCUGAGUGUUCACAAGAAAGGUUGAUAUGUGUCCUGGAAGUGCUGCAACUUGUGGACAUUCUUGACAAUGUGGUCCUUCAUUUUGCUCCUUGGCCUCAGUUUGUUUAUGCUAAUAAUGGGUGCAUCUACACAUCACCCUAUGGCGACAUGGCACCCUAUGGCGACAUAGUGCCAUGCUUUAGUACUUCCAAAAAGAAGUACUAAAGCACAGUGACAUGUGGACGUGCACAAUGAGGAUAAUAUUUGUGGCUGAUUUCACAGGGGUGCUUUAAGAUAAAUUUACUACUGCUUGUGAAGCAUUCAGAUGCUAUAGAAGGAGAACAACAAAAAUGCCCUAUUGUAUUCAAUGUUGGGUUUGGAUGAUGAGAGUUCAGUAAAGGCUCAAGCAAGGUGCUGAAUUUGGGAUGUAUAAAGAAAUAGUCAAUAAACAGCCAUUCACUGAAUGAGGUAGAGGUUCUAUGGAAAGUAGUCUGUGAUCAGAUAAUUAAGAACAACAUCAGAUUGUAUGCACGUACAGCAGGGCAAUUACAACUUAGUGCUACAACCUGAACGUCCUUUUGGAGUAAUUUUUGUACGUAAUUAUUAUGUAAAAUGUUGUGUGCUGUAUUGUGACAAUGAUAUUAAUGCCCUAAACCUUGCAAAGAAUUAUAUGGUUGUUCACUUUUACAUCCUUGAGUAACAAUGUUGGAUUUUCAGUUACCUCAAUAAAGAUCAAUGGGGAUAGCA